rnacentral:rRNA from 1 species
AGUGAACGCUGGCGGCGUGCUUAACACAUGCAAGUCGAACGAUGAAGCCUAGCUUGCUAGGUGGAUUAGUGGCGCACGGGUGAGUAAUAUAUAGAUAACGUGCCUCUUAGUCUGGGAUAGCCAUUGGAAACGAUGAUUAAUACUAGAUACUCCUUCUCAUUCUAAUAUGAGUCGGGAAAGUUUUUCGCUAAGAGAUCGGUCUAUAUCCCAUCAGUUAGUUGGUAAGGUAACGGCUUACCAAGGCAAUGACGGGUAGCGGGUUUGAGAGGAUGAUCCGCCACACUGGUACUGAGACACGGACCAG